GUAGGGAAUAUUGCGCAAUGGACGAAAGUCUGACGCAGCGACGCCGCGUGAGUGAUGAAGGCCUUAGGGUCGUAAAGCUCUGUUGAAUGGGAAGAAAAAAAUGACGGUACCAUUCGAGGAAGGACCGGCUAACUUCGUGCCAGCAGCCGCGGUAAUACGAGGGGUCCUAGCGUUGUUCGGAAUCAUUGGGCGUAAAGGGUGUGUAGGUGGCCAUGUCAGUCAGGUGUGAAAGCCCCGGGCUCAACCCGGGAAGUGCACUUGAUACUGCGUGGCUUGAGUACCGAAGAGGGUAGUGGAAUUCCAGGUGUAGUGGUGAAAUACGUAGAUAUCUGGAGGAACACCGGUGGCGAAGGCGGCUACCUGGUCGAGUACUGACACUGAGACACGAAAGCAUGGGGAUCAAACAGGAUUAGAAACCCUGGUAGUCC
rnacentral:rRNA from 1 species